rnacentral:rRNA from 1 species
CCCGCUGAACUUAAGCAUAUCAAUAAGGGGAGGAAAAGAAACUAACAAGGAUUCCCUCAGUAACGGCGAGUGAAGCGGGAAUAGCUCAAACUUGGAAUCGAAGAGGUUUCACUUCUUUGAAUUGUAGUUUUGUGAGCAACUUCAAAGGAUUGGAAUGGUGUUAAAGUCUGUUGGAAUAUAGCGCCAAAGAGGGUGAUAGCCCCGUAAAUGACACUAUUCUGGUCCGUAUGUUGUUGUUUCAGAGAGUCGGGUUGUUUGGGAGUAUAGCCCUAAAUAGGUGGUAAGUUCCAUCUAAAGCUAAAUAUGGGUGGGAGACCGAUAGCGAACAAGUACCGCGAGGGAAAGAUGAAAAGAACUUUGAAAAGAGAGUUCAAAGGACCUGAAAUUGCUAAAAAGAAGCGAUUAGUACUUUCGAAUGGGGUGGUAUAGAUUCAGGUUUUGGGUGGUGGAAGUGGGGGUUAACAAGUGGGGAUACUCACUGUUUGAUUCUCAUUUGAAGUCACUUGAGGCUGCACUUUUGUAUCAUCUCAAGCAUCGUGAGUUUUGAAUCGGUUAGAAUAGAGUAGGAAGGUAAUUUGGCUGAGGUCAAGUGAAUACCUACUUUGAUGACCUUUUCUAGACUGAGGGUCUGUUCUCAGACAAAGAGUGUGCUUAGCGGUGUAAAGGGGUGAAAUGGGGGGUAUUUUGGUGGGGGUGCUUGCACUGACAUUAUUAUACUUUUCAUCCAACUUCUGUCAUCUAACACUCUAAAGACGAUGUAGAUUGUACCAAUUGUCCCGUCUUGAAACACGG